rnacentral:rRNA from 1 species
AUUGAACGCUGGCGGCAGGCCUAACACAUGCAAGUCGAGCGGAUGAAGGGAGCUUGCUCCUGGAUUCAGCGGCGGACGGGUGAGUAAUGCCUAGGAAUCUGCCUGGUAGUGGGGGAUAACGUCCGGAAACGGGCGCUAAUACCGCAUACGUCCUGAGGGAGAAAGUGGGGGAUCUUCGGACCUCACGCUAUCAGAUGAGCCUAGGUCGGAUUAGCUAGUUGGUGGGGUAAAGGCCUACCAAGGCGACGAUCCGUAACUGGUCUGAGAGGAUGAUCAGUCACACUGAACUGAGACACGGUCCAGACUCCUACGGGAGGCAGCAGUGGGGAAUAUUGGACAAUGGGCGAAAGCCUGAUCCAGCCAUGCCGCGUGUGUGAAGAAGGUCUUCGGAUUGUAAAGCACUUUAAGUUGGGAGGAAGGGCAGUAAGUUAAUACCUUGCUGUUUUGACGUUACCAACAGAAUAAGCACCGGCUAACUUCGCG